rnacentral:lncRNA from 7 species
CCCCACGAGCGGUGCUCCUAUUUUUUUCAGCUUUGCUCUUGAUAUGCGCUCACUUCUCCCUCUCUCUCUCUUCCCUUGCGUGAUUUUUGUCAAUUCUCUGUGCCCCUUGCUUCCUUCCCACUCAGCUCUGUGGCCCCCCGCCUGCACUCCUGCACUGCGAGCGACGUGCAAUCGCACAUGUACAGUGCUCCGCGUGCCGCACUCGGCAUUCCCAAGUCCCAAAACCCCUCCUGUAGGAGUGGAAUAUGAACCCGGUGUCCCGGUAGGGAAGCACUUGUGGGAACUCUGUGUUACUACAGAGACAGU